GUGUGAUUUUCGAGCUAAACCCUCUAGCUAACACCCUCACUCGGCCUUGCAUGGCUGAACGUAUGUUCAGCAGCAGGAAAGAUUCUCAAGGACCAUUAUUUAAAGGGAUCAUCAGCUACUUACAGUUGCUGUCUGAAGUUGAACGAGACCGUUCACAACUUUAGCAUCCUAUCUGACUCCAAGGUGAGCCUCUGACCACAUAGCCUCUCCAUCACCAAGACCACCAAUUCCAACAAUAAGAACACAAAAUACUGGAAAAAUGCAGGACAGGCAGCAGCUGUGGAGAGAAACAGAGUUAAAGUUUCAGGUGAAAAUUCAGCAGCUGUAACCACCAACCC